AGGCUUAACACAUGCAAGUCGAGGGGCAGCAUGGUCUUUGCUUGCUAAGGCCGAUGGCGACCGGCGCACGGGUGAGUAACACGUAUCCAACCUGCCGUCUACUCUUGGACAGCCUUCUGAAAGGAAGAUUAAUACAAGAUGGCAUCAUGAGUCCGCAUGUUCACAUGAUUAAAGGUAUUCCGGUAGACGAUGGGGAUGCGUUCCAUUAGAUAGUAGGCGGGGUAACGGCCCACCUAGUCUUCGAUGGAUAGGGGUUCUGAGAGGAAGGUCCCCCACAUUGGAACUGAGACACGGUCCAAACUCCUACGGGAGGCAGCAGUGAGGAAUAUUGGUCAAUGGGCGAGAGCCUGAACCAGCCAAGUAGCGUGAAGGAUGACUGCCCUAUGGGUUGUAAACUUCUUUUAUAAAGGAAUAAAGUCGGGUAUGGAUACCCGUUUGCAUGUACUUUAUGAAUAAGGAUCGGCUAACUCCGUGCCAGCAGCCGCGGUAAUACGGAGGAUCCGAGCGUUAUCCGGAUUUAUUGGGUUUAAAGGGAGCGUAGAUGGAUGUUUAAGUCAGUUGUGAAAGUUUGCGGCUCAACCGUAAAAUUGCAGUUGAUACUGGAUAUCUUGAGUGCAGUUGAGGCAGGCGGAAUUCGUGGUGUAGCGGUGAAAUGCUUAGAUAUCACGAAGAACUCCGAUUGCGAAGGCAGCCUGCUAAGCUGCAACUGACAUUGAGGCUCGAAAGUGUGGGUAUCAAACAGGAUUAGAUACCCUGGUAGUCCACACGGUAAACGAUGAAUACUCGCUGUUUGCGAUAUACAGCAAGCGGCCAAGCGAAAGCGUUAAGUAUUCCACCUGGGGAGUACGCCGGCAACGGUGAAACUCAAAGGAAUUGACGGGGGCCCACACAAGCGGAGGAACAUGUGGUUUAAUUCGAUGAUACGCGAGGAACCUUACCCGGGCUUAAAUUGCAGAUGAAUUACGGUGAAAGCCGUAAGCCGCAAGGCAUCUGUGAAGGUGCUGCAUGGUUGUCGUCAGCUCGUGCCGUGAGGUGUCGGCUUAAGUGCCAUAACGAGCGCAACCCUUGUUGUCAGUUACUAACAGGUUCCGCUGAGGACUCUGACAAGACUGCCAUCGUAAGAUGUGAGGAAGGUGGGGAUGACGUCAAAUCAGCACGGCCCUUACGUCCGGGGCUACACACGUGUUACAAUGGGGGGUACAGAGGGCCGCUACCACGCGAGUGGAUGCCAAUCCCCAAAACCUCUCUCAGUUCGGACUGGAGUCUGCAACCCGACUCCACGAAGCUGGAUUCGCUAGUAAUCGCGCAUCAGCCACGGCGCGGUGAAUACGUUCCCGGGCCUUGUACACACCGCCCGUCAAGCCAUGGGAGCCGGGGGUACCUGAAGUGCGUAACCGCGAGGAGCGCCCUAGGGUAAAACUGGU
rnacentral:rRNA from 1 species